AGCGAACGCUGGCGGCAGGCCUAACACAUGCAAGUCGAACGAACCCUUCGGGGUUAGUGGCGGACGGGUGAGUAACACGUGGGAACGUGCCUUUAGGUUCGGAAUAACUCAGGGAAACUUGUGCUAAUACCGAAUGUGCCCUUCGGGGGAAGGAUUUAUCGCCUUUAGAGCGGCCGCCGUCUGUUUGGCUAGUUGGGGGGGUAAGGGCUCACAAAGGCUACGAUCAGUGGCUGGUCUGAGAGGAGGACCAGCAACAGUGGGACUGAGACACGGCCCAAACUCCUACGGGAGGCAGCAGUGGGGAAUCUUGCGCAAUGGGCGAAAGCCUGACGCAGCCAUGCCGCGUGGAUGAUGAAGGUCUUAGGAUUGUAAAAUCCUUUCACCGGUGAAGAUAAUGACUGUAGCCGGAGAAGAAGCCCCGGCUAACUUCGUGCCAGCCGCCGCAGUAAUAC
rnacentral:rRNA from 1 species